rnacentral:rRNA from 1 species
AUGAACGUUGGCGGCGUGGAUUAGGCAUGCAAGUCGAGCGAGAACCCCGCAAGGGGGGACAGUGGCAAACGGGGUAGUAAUGUGUCGGAACGUGCCCUCUGGACGGGGAUAGCGGCGGGAAACUGCCGGUAAUACCCGAUGAACUCGAGAGAGCAAAGGUGUGAUUCCGCCGGAGGAGCGGCCGACAUGGUAUUAGCUAGUUGGCGGGGUAACGGCCCACCAAGGCUUUGAUGCCUAGGGGAUGUGAGAGCAUGAUCCCCACCAUUGGGACUGAGACACUGCCCAGACACCUACGGGUGGCUGCAGUCGAGAAUCUUCGUCAAUGGGCGAAAGCCUGAACGAGCGACGCCGCGUGCGGGAUGAAGGCCCUUGGGUUGUAAACCGCUGUCGAGGGGGAUGAAGGCUUGGAGGUACUCCUCCAAGUUUGACAGAGCCCUGGAGGAAGCACGGGCUAAGUUCGU